CUUGACCUACGCUUUUCAAUACAAUCCUUUCGUUAACUACUUCAUACAUACAACAUACAAACUUUCAUACAGAAACAUCAAAUUCGGAAAAUCAUCGGGGGGGGGGGGGUUCUGAUGUGGAAAGGGUGUCUAUGCCGAGUCUCUUGUUUUCCCUUGAAAUUACUAAUAAAAAAUGUGAAGUUUCGCCGUUAUUCUCUUCUUCCAUUUUGCCUUUAUUCAUGUAUGCCUGUAACCCAACAUUCUUCGCACAAUUUAACCCGAUUUUUUCCGGCUGGCCGCGGAUCAUUUUUGUCUCUGUGUAGUAAUUUUAUCUUUCCUCCUUGCGUAACAAUGUGCAGUGCUAUAUUCAUUUUGGAGUCGUUCCCAUCUACUUUGUUACGUUCAACGCGGUCGAGAUAAAGUGUUCCCAAUUCGUUCUGUUAACUAUGAGGCCUUCCUCGGUGGCCUGAAAAUGUUUUAUCGCAUAGUAACUCAUCACUUGUGCAAACUCGCAUUCUUACUGUUGAUCAUCGCUUUAUUUUUCGUCUACUUUUUCGUGGAUCGCCAGCAGUUGACUUCUUUUAAAAGUUACUGGCUCGAUGGAAUUGAUACGAAUACGGAAGAGCCCCGGGUCCCAGUCUGUUACAAACUGCCCCAAGACGAUGAAAGACCGCUGAAUUCGACUGUGAACUAUGUCGCUGCGGCCGAUGAAAUCUCGCUGAACAACGCCGUCCUAAACAUCAACAUCAGCUCAGAAAAUGGGAAACAGGUGAUCGAUGAGUUACUGGAGGAAUUCAAGGACCAAUACGACUUAGAGGGGCGAACCGAUGGACCCAAAGUGGUCACUCGCUUAUUUAAAAGGAUCUGCAACGAAACAGAGAUUCGAAGAAUGACCCCCGAGAAAUGCAUGAAUUUCACGGUAUAUCCUGCCCCGGAACUUCCACCCCAGCGGGAGAACAUGUCACGGAGCUCAGAUGAAAAUGCCGACCAAGCGGACAAGGAGGUCCUCGGAAAGGAGAGUCACAGAUAUUAGACAUUUGAAUUCUCUCAGCAAGAACAAACCCGUUGACCUCGGAUCCAAAUUGGCCUUUGAAAUUUUCGCUGCUGAGUUUUGCCCCGUUGUCUACUCUAUAUUAAAGGGUCGGGCGUAAAGGAGCUGACGCACCGAGAAGAAACCAUAAUUCAAAUGGGUCAGUUGCGCUGGUCAUUGAAUCGUGUUUUGAUGCUUGAUUCUUGUAGAUCAGCUAAGAAUAAUAAAAUCUGUCCAAACAGCAACUCUCUACGUUCAAUAUUAUGCCGUGCUAAGAAAAACGCCGUAUGAGCCCUCAGGUGUUGCCAAAUUUCCUUCGAUAAAAUACGAAGUUUAGAGGAAACUACUGGAUAUUUUUCGUCACAUUUUUCAGACAAUUUUGUAAAGAAUUCAAUCUAAAAUAUCUUAAAAUUUCAGGGAAAAAUAUGCAUCACUUCCCUUAAAAAUACAUGUUUAUUCCGGAGAAAUUUGGCAACUCUCGAAUGUUCUUACGGCGUUUUUCCUUAGCACGACAGUAUUAACCGAGAUAUCGCCGUUUGAAAAGUCGGGUUUUUGACGUCAUCCACCGCGGUAGUGACACUCUUGAUUUCUUCCACCUUGCUUUCAUCCGAGUUUCACGUUGAACAACCAGUGCUAAUGUGUGUAACACCGACUGAACUCGAAGUUUGUAGGCGCUAAUAUGUGUUUCACGUCAACUGACCGACUGCCCUGCUUUUGGCGCAAUGCGAGAAGUACUCAUGCGGUCUUGUAGGCGCUAUGCGGUUCACGCCGAUCGCACUGUUUGGCGCAAUGCGUGAAGUAUUCCCACAGUCUCGCAGGCGCUAAUAUCAUCAUCCGAGUUUCACGUUGAAUAACCAGUGAAAAUGUGCGUCACUAAUGAAAACAAGGUGGAAGAGACCAAGGGUGUCACCACCGCGGUGGAUGACGUCAAAAUCCCAACUUUUCAAAGGGCGAUAUUGAACGUAGAAAGUUGCCGUUUGAACAUUUCGUGUUAUUUUUAGCUGAUCUGUUAGAAUCAAGCAUUAAAACACAAUUCCAUGACCAGCGCAACUGAUCAUUUACCAAAUGAGUGGUUUUCAAUUUUAUUAACUUUAAAUGGAUCACAGAAUCGUGUUUUGAUGUUUGAUUGUUGUGGCUCAGCUAAAAAUAAUUAUAAUUCAUUCUUUGUAUAUUUACCGAGAUACCGUGCUUUGGGAAAUUCUUUAAUCCGCGGUAUUAACACCCCUGGUUUCUCCCACCUUGCCCUCAUCCGAGUUUCACGUUGCAAACGUGUACCUCACUGAUUGAUGACACUAAGGUGAGGAAACGAAGGGUGUCAUUGUCGCGGAUGAUGACGUCAUAAACGUCAUCAAAUUUUUUUUUCAUGGCGCUAUAUCUCGGUUAAUAUUGAACAUAGAGAGUUGCUGUUUGGACGUAUCUCUCUAUAUUCAGCUGUUCUACGAGAUUAAAGCACUAAAACACGAUUUUUUGACCAGCUCAACUGACCUAUCGAUGGUGGCUAUUUCGAACAUUCGUGGUUUUUUACUAUUAUCGGUAAUAAUUUAACAAUUUCGUUGGUACUUUUAUUACAUCGUCGUCCGGAAGAACAUGGUUUUUGGACAGAUCUUAUUACUAUUUUCCUCGAUCUGUACGAUUUUAGGAUUCCAUCAGAAAUGCAACUAAAGCAUGAGUAAAAGUAUCACCUGCAAAUCAGAUCUCUGUGAAGAAAACAGAUGAUUUUGUGACAUGAGGUCAGUCACUAUAUUGCUCUAUCUGUUAUAAUUUUGAAGAGAAACCUUUUCAUUAGGAUAUUCCCGUUAAUGUAAAAUAUAAUUUAACAUUUUACGAUUCAAUUUUUACCAUUCAAAUGUAAGUCGUGCAAUACAUCACACCUGCACCUACAACUUAUACAAUUCGGAGGGCUUUCAAAGUUGCCGCACAAAUUGUAGCAGCUAUAAUUGAAGGCGUUUUGAAAGUUGCUUGCUUCCUCACUCCGAGGUUGGGUAAGUAUCUCAAGCACCAGCCUAAAGGAUGCAGUAAGUGGAGAGAUUAUGGUCUACAUUAUUAGAGAAAAAUGUCUUCCAAAACAUGAUUUACAUUUAAUUUCUACGCUGUAAAAUUAUAGAUAAUUGUUAUUUAAUUUCGUACUCCGGUCGGCCUUGUUCUUUCUCACUACCUAGGAAGAAAUCUUUUCAUACAUCAUCUACUUCCUACCUGCUGUCUAGCGUCAUUGAUUCAUCCCAAUUAAAGAUAAGGCUAAAAGUGAAUUUUCUGUGACAAAUGUAAACACUUGAUUUUUUGAUCGUUAUGUCUGUGUAUUUUUUUGUAAUUUAUUAUAAAUAAAUUGUUGACGAUAAUCGCUAUAGUGAGAGUUCGUUCUCCACUGACUUUUAACAUAAAGAAUCGUUGGAAAAAACUUUGAUUGUAUAUUAUCGCCCCUCAAAAAUUCAAAAUUAAGAUA
rnacentral:lncRNA from 1 species